rnacentral:rRNA from 1 species
UAACAAGGUCUCCGUUGGUGAACCAGCGGAGGGAUCAUUACCGAGUUUACAACUCCCAAACCCCUGUGAACAUACCACUUGUUGCCUCGGCGGAUCAGCCCGCUCCCGGUAAAACGGGACGGCCCGCCAGAGGACCCCUAAACUCUGUUUCUAUAUGUAACUUCUGAGUAAAACCAUAAAUAAAUCAAAACUUUCAACAACGGAUCUCUUGGUUCUGGCAUCGAUGAAGAACGCAGCAAAAUGCGAUAAGUAAUGUGAAUUGCAGAAUUCAGUGAAUCAUCGAAUCUUUGAACGCACAUUGCGCCCGCCAGUAUUCUGGCGGGCAUGCCUGUUCGAGCGUCAUUUCAACCCUCAAGCACAGCUUGGUGUUGGGACUCGCGUUAAUUCGCGUUCCCCAAAUUGAUUGGCGGUCACGUCGAGCUUCCAUAGCGUAGUAGUAAAACCCUCGUUACUGGUAAUCGUCGCGGCCACGCCGUUAAACCCCAACUUCUGAAUGUUGACCUCGGAUC